GCGUUGUCAGUUAUUUUCGAUCUAUUAGUUUGACUGUCCCUCUAGUAUCUGUCAGUUGGUCAGUGACUUUUGAGUGGGAAUAUCCCUUUUGUAUUGUUCCGCCUCUCUGUCAAUCUCAGGGCAAAAACAAUAUCGAAAGCACAACAAUUGCAUAUUUAUACAGCAACUAGAAUACUUUCUGUUGUCUUUAUUGAUCAAAUAUAGUAACAAAU
rnacentral:lncRNA from 1 species